CUGGGAUGAUGCUUCUUCCAUCUUUACUCAUAAGCAGUUGAUCUCUCCUGAAAGGGAAGUGGAAGGGGAAGCUUCUUGGAGGAGUCAGCACUUGCUCCUUCCUUAGGUAUUUGAGUUUUGAAUACUGGCUUUUUGAGUGUUUUGCAAUGAGCAGAAGCAUGCAAGUCCAAAACAUAAAGGGCAUGUGUCCAUCCAGUGUCUGAGUUCUCAGUACAGAAAAGUGGAAAGGCCAACAACAAGCACUUAGUUGUGAUUUGGACUCUUUCCAGGCUUAGGACAAUCUACAUGCCCAGUUAUGCAGUUAUGUAGAGAGAGCUUAAAUUGCUCAAAAAAGUGGCAUGCCUGAUCUAAGUUAGCUCACCUGAGUAGAUGUACCAAUGUGGAUCAAAACUGGGUUAACCCAAUCAAAGAAAGUCUUAGUCUGACCUCGCAAAUUCCUGUAUGCACUUGCAGUGGAGCCCUGAGGCUGGAAAAGCCGAGCUGCUUCCACUCCCUCCCCG